GCAACGAGCGCAACCCCUAUUGUUAGUUGCCAUCAUUCAGUUUGGGCACUCUAGCGAGACUGCCGGUAAUAAACCGGAGGAAGGUGGGAUGACGUCAAAUCAUCAUGCCCCUUAUGACCUGGGCUACACACGUGCUACAAUGGUUGGUACAACGAGUUGCGAGUCGGUGACGGCGAGCUAAUCUCUUAAAGCCAAUCUCAGUUCGGAUUGUAGGCUGCAACUCGCCUACAUGAAGUCGGAAUCGCUAGUAAUCGCGGAUCAGCACGCCGCGGUGAAUACGUUCCCGGGCCUU
rnacentral:rRNA from 1 species